AAAUUGAAGAGUUUGAUCAUGGCUCAGAUUGAACGCUGGCGGCAGGCCUAACACAUGCAAGUCGAACGGUAACAGGAAGCAGCUUGCUGCUUCGCUGACGAGUGGCGGACGGGUGAGUAAUGUCUGGGAAACUGCCUGAUGGAGGGGGAUAACUACUGGAA
rnacentral:rRNA from 5 species